UUUGGACUUUUCAGUCAUGCAUUUCCGAUCGGCUCUGCUGGCAUUUUUAAUACUGCUGGCCGCAUCCAAUGCACAACUCCCGACCAACUGCAUUCUACCAUCACAAGAUUGCGACUUAAACAACUCCGGAGCGUGCUGCUUAUCUCCUGCCAUUCAGUGCACGGAAAUUUCAGGUCGGAGUUUGUGUGCACUCAAUCCUAAUGCCAUACCACAGCUUCAAAACUACAACGGAGGGGUGCUUUAGACAAAAUUUGAAUUUUAACCAUGUCACUGUUUUGGCUUGAUGAUUUCAUUUCGGAGGAUGCAUUUUUAUGAUGAUGAUGUGCUUCUGUCAAAAAUCGACAAAUAAAUACAAUGUGUAUGUAAUACACAUUUUAUUAGUUUAUUGAAAGAAGAACUUUAAAAAAAGCAGGUCAUGGUCAUCUGUAGAUCAGAGAUCGGUACAAAAUCAUCAUUUAAAAAUAUGUAUAAAAAAUAAAAAAUUCAUAAGUUGUUUUUAAUAA